rnacentral:tRNA from 1 species
AAGAUUUUAAGUUAAAUAAACUAUUAGCCUUCAAAGUUUAAAAUACAUAAUAGUAAAUCUUA